rnacentral:rRNA from 1 species
UGAGUAACGCGUGAGGAACCUGCCUUCCAGAGGGGGACAACAGUUGGAAACGACUGCUAAUACCGCAUAAUGUGUUGUGAUGGCAUCAUUGCAACACCAAAGAUUUAUCGCUGGAAGAUGGCCUCGCGUCUGAUUAGCUAGUAGGCGGGGUAACGGCCCACCUAGGCGACGAUCAGUAGCCGGACUGAGAGGUUGACCGGCCACAUUGGGACUGAGAUACGGCCCAGACUCCUACGGGAGGCAGCAG